GAUGAACGCUGGCGGCGUGCUUAACACAUGCAAGUCGAACGGAAAGGCCCAAGCUUGCUUGGGUACUCGAGUGGCGAACGGGUGAGUAACACGUGGGUGAUCUGCCCUGCACUUCGGGAUAAGCCUGGGAAACUGGGUCUAAUACCGGAUAGGACCACAUUUUGGAUGGUGUGGUGGAAAGUUUUUCGGUGUGGGAUGAGCUCGCGGCCUAUCAGCUUGUUGGUGGGGUAAUGGCCUACCAAGGCGUCGACGGGUAGCCGGCCUGAGAGGGUGUACGGCCACAUUGGGACUGAGAUACGGCCAAGACUCCUACGGGAGGCAGCAGUGGGGAAUAUUGCACAAUGGGCGCAAGCCUGAUGCAGCGACGCCGCGUGGGGGAUGACGGCCUUCGGGUUGUAAACUCCUUUCGCUAGGGACGAAGCGUUUUUGUGACGGUACCUGGAGAAGAAGCACCGGCUAACUACGUG
rnacentral:rRNA from 1 species